rnacentral:rRNA from 1 species
GGGUGAGUAACACGUAUGCAACCUGCCCCUGUCAGGGGGACAACCCGCCGAAAGGCGGGCUAAACCCGCGUACAUGCCACCGGGGCAUCCCGGAGGCAGGAAAGGCUUCGGCCGGACAGGGAUGGGCAUGCGGCGCAUUAGGCAGUAGGCGGGGUAACGGCCCACCUAACCGACGAUGCGUAGGGGUUCUGAGAGGAAGGUCCCCCACACUGGUACUGAGAUACGGACCAGACUCCUACGGGAGGCAGCAGUGAGGAAUAUUGGUCAAUGGUCGGGAGACUGAACCAGCCAAGCCGCGUGAGGGAUGAAGGUACAGAGUAUCGUAAACCUCUUUUGUCAGGGAACAAAGGCGGGGACGUGUCCCCGGAUGAGUGUACCUGAAGAAAAAGCAUCGGCUAACUCCGUGCCAGCAGCCGCGGUAAUACGGAGGAUGCGAGCGUUAUCCGGAUUUAUUGGGUUUAAAGGGUGCGCAGGCGGUCUGUUAAGUCAGCGGUCAAAGCCCGGGGCUCAACCCCGGCCCGCCGUUGAAACUGGCAGUCUCGAGUUGGAGAGAAGUAUGCGGAAUGCGCGGUGUAGCGGUGAAAUGCAUAGAUAUCGCGCAGAACUCCGAUUGCGAAGGCAGCAUGCCGGCUCCACACUGACGCUGAGGCACGAAAGCGUGGGUAUCGAACAGGAUUAGAUACCCUGGUAGUCCACGCAGUAA